GAUGAACGCUGGCGGCGUGCCUAAUACAUGCAAGUCGAGCGAACAGACGAGGAGCUUGCUCCUCUGACGUUAGCGGCGGACGGGUGAGUAACACGUGGAUAACCUACCUAUAAGACUGGGAUAACUUCUGGAAACCGGUGCUAAUACCGGAUAAUAUAUUUAACCGCAUGGUUCAAUAUUGAAAGACGGUUUUGCUGUCACUUAUAGUUGUAUCCGGGCCGCAUUAGCUAGUUGGUAAGGUAACGGCUUACAAAGGCAACGAUGCGUAGCCGACCUGAGAGGGGGAUCGGCCACAUGGGAACUGAGAAACGGUCCAGACUCCUACGGGAGGCGGCAGUAGGGAAUCUUCGGAAAUGGGCGAAGGCCGGACGGAGAAACGCGGCGGAAGUGAUGAAGGUCUUCGGAUCGUAAAACUCUGUUAUUAGGGAGGAACAAAUGUGUAAGUAACAAUGCACGUCUUGACGGUACCUAAUCAGAAAGCCACGGCUAACUACGUG
rnacentral:rRNA from 1 species